rnacentral:rRNA from 1 species
UACGUAGGGUGCAAGCGUUAAUCGGAAUUACUGGGCGUAAAGCGUGCGCAGGCGGUUGUGUAAGACAGAUGUGAAAUCCCCGGGCUCAACCUGGGAACUGCAUUUGUGACUGCACGGCUGGAGUGCGGCAGAGGGGGAUGGAAUUCCGCGUGUAGCAGUGAAAUGCGUAGAUAUGCGGAGGAACACCGAUGGCGAAGGCAGCUUGCUACACAAUUAUUGACACUGAGGCUCGAAAGCGUGGGGAUCAAACAGG